CCUACGGGAGACAGCAGUGGGGAAUAUUGGGCAAUGGAGGCAACUCUGACCCAGCAACGCCGCGUGAAUGAUGAAGGUCUUCGGAUUGUAAAGUACUGUGAUGGGGGAUGAACACAAGGACGGUACCCCAAUAGCAAGCCACGGCUAACUAGGUGCCAGCAGCCGCGGUAAUACGUAGGUGGCAAGGGUUAUCCGGAAUGACGGGGCGGAAAGGGGGCGGAGGUGGUUUGGUAAGUUGGCGGUGUAAUUCCGGGGCUCAACCUCGGCGCUACCGCCAAAACUAUUAGACUAGAGUGCAGGAGGGGUAAGUGGAAUUCCUAGUGUAGCGGUGGAAUGCGUAGAUAUUAGGAGGAACAUCAGGGGCGAAGGCGACUUACUGGACUGUAACUGACACUGAGGCACGAAAGCGUGGGGAGCAAACAGGAUUAGAUACCCGAGUAGUC
rnacentral:rRNA from 1 species